rnacentral:rRNA from 1 species
CUACGGGGGGCACCAGUCGAGAAUCUUCCGCAAUGGACGAAAGUCUGACGGAGCGACGCCGCGUGCGGGAUGAAGGCCUUCGGGUUGUAAACCGCUGUCAGUGGGGAGGAAAUGCAUCAGGGUUCUCCCUGGUGUUUGACCGAUCCGCAGAGGAAGCGCAGGCUAAGUUCGUGCCAGCAGCCGCGGUAACACGAACUGCGCGAACGUUAUUCGGAAUCACUGGGCUUAAAGAGUUCGUAGGCGGCCUUUCAAGUCGGGUGUGAAAUCCCUCGGCUCAACCGAGGAAUUGCGCCUGAUACUGUUGGGCUUGAGGGGGAUAGGGGUGAGCGGAACUGAUGGUGGAGCGGUGAAAUGCGUUGAUAUCAUCAGGAACACCGGUGACGAAGGCGGCUCACUGGAUCUCUUCUGACGCUGAGGAACGAAAGCUAGGGGAGCGAACGGGAUUAGAUACCCGUGUAGUC